UCUGAAACAAAGUCUGUGAGUGAGCUGUGACACAUGUUACAUAAAUAGAAGCCGCAGAGGGGAAAAGCCUGUUUUCUCUUUCAUUAUUUAUCACUCUCUAACCAUCUCCAGCUGGGAACUCCCCUACUGUUAUUUAAGCCUGUUUGCUGUGAAGUUUCUGAUGCUUGCACCAAUACAAGAGCACAGCAGAAGAGUGUCUAAUCCAGCUCGGAGCAUUCAAGGAAAACCUCCAAGAGGAGGUGUCAUCUAAGCUACGGCUUAGAGUCAGCUGGGGAAGCACGGGGAAGGAAAGGUAUUCCAAGCAGAGGGCACAGCCGGAGAGGAAAGAGCCCAGUGUAUGCCAGAAGACUGACGUGGCCGAGCUGGGAGUGGCCACUGAAGAUUCAAGAAAGGACACCUUGUGCCUGUUGCACCAGAUCGAGGUGCUUAAAAUUGGCCCGGAGGGACUGGGUCUUGAACAAGCCAUGGAAACACCCUUGGCUCAGGCUCAAGACAAGCCGGAAGCGCUGGAGAGUUACUGUGUCUGAAAGCAGCCCUCCACCGAUGGCAAAGAAGGAGUUGCUGGAUAAAUACCCCAGCUUCUGGCCCCGUCGUAUGGACACCUCGAGGCAUGUCUCAAACAUCUUCCUGGGUUUCCGAGUGGGAACGUGCCCUCUCGCUCACAGUGGAGGCUAACGCUCCCAGUUGGCCUCCCACCCGCCGCUCCCCUCCCCGACUCCCUACACCCACUCCUCCAAUCCCUAUGUCAGUCAGUCUCCCGAGAACGGAAAUUAAGACAAAGGUGUUGUGAAAACCAAACAAGUAGAAAAUUGCGAGAUGUUCUUGCCGCGUAAAUUUUUUUUCCUUCUCGAUUGCACCCGUGCCAUAUGGACGUUCCCAGGCCAGGGAUCAAAUCCGAGCUGUGGCUGAAACCUAUGCCACAGCUUUGGCAAACACCAGAUCCUUAACCCACUGCACUAGGCCGGGGAUCGAACCCAUGCCUCCCACAGAGACAACACUGGAUUUUUAACCCACUGCGCCACAGCAGAGACUCCUCCGUGUAACUUCUAUCUUUUGUGGCUCAGGUCAUCCCCACGCUGGGUCCACCGCCACACUCAGAAGAGACUGGUCAGUUUCUCCUUUGGGCCUGAGGUUCCUAGCAAGGGACUUUGCAGAGACCAAGGCAAACUCCAUGAUCAAGAAACCCUUUCUGAGCUCUCACUCCAGUUUCUCCUCUUUUUUUUUUUCUGUUUGUUUGGUUUUUUUUUCCUUUUUUUU